AUUGAACGCUGGCGGCAGGCUUAACACAUGCAAGUCGAGCGGUAACAGAGAGAAGCUUGCUUCUCUGCUGACGAGCGGCGGACGGGUGAGUAAUGCCUAGGAAUCUGCCUAGUAGUGGGGGAUAACUUGCCGAAAGGUAAGCUAAUACCGCAUACGUCCUACGGGAGAAAGGAGGGGACCUUCGGGCCUUUCGCUAUUAGAUGAGCCUAGGUCGGAUUAGUUAGUUGGUGAGGUAAUGGCUCACCAAGAGCGCGAUCCGUAACUGGUCUGAGGGGAUGAUCAGUCACACUGGAGCUGAGACACGGUCCAGACUCCUACGGGAGGCAGCAGUGGGGAAUAUUGGACAAUGGGGGGAACCCUGAUCCAGCCAUGCCGCGUGUGUGAAGAAGGUCUUAGGGUUGUAAAGCACUUUAAGUUGGGAGGAAGAGCAGUUAACUAAUAUUUGACUGUUUUGACGUUACCGACAGAAUAAGCACCGGCUAACUUCGUGCCAGCCGCCGCGGUAA
rnacentral:rRNA from 1 species